UACGUAGGCAGCGAGCGUUGUUCGGAGUUACUGGGCGUAAAGAGCGUGUAGGCGGCCAGGUAGGUCUGCUGUGAAAACUCGAGGCUCAACCUCGAGACGUCGGCGGAAACCAUCUGGCUAGAGUCCGGAAGAGGAGAGUGGAAUUCCUGGUGUAGCGGUGAAAUGCGCAGAUAUCAGGAAGAACACCCGUGGCGAAGGCGGCUCUCUGGGCAGUUGCUGACACUGAGGCGCGACAGCGUGGGGAGCAAACAGG
rnacentral:rRNA from 1 species